GUAGGGUGCGAGCGUUAAUCGGAAUUACUGGGCGUAAAGCGUGCGCAGGCGGCUUUGCAAGACAGAGGGUGAAAUACCCCCGGGGCUCAACCUGGGAACUGCCUUUGUGACUGCAAGGCUAGAGUACGGCAGAGGGGGAUGGAAUUCCGCGUGUAGCAGUGAAAUGCGUAGAUAUGCGGAGGAACACCGGUGGCGAAGGCAAUCCCCUGGGCCUGUACUGACGCUCAUGCACGAAAGCGUGGGGAGCAAACAGGAUUAGAUACCCUGGUAGUCCACGCCCUAAACGAUGUCAACUGGUUGUUGGACGGCUUGCUGUUCAGUAACGAAGCUAACGCGUGAAGUUGACCGCCUGGGGAGUACGGCCGCAAGGUUG
rnacentral:rRNA from 1 species